GAUGAACGCUGGCGGCGUGCCUAAUACAUGCAAGUCGAGCGAACGGACGAGAAGCUUGCUUCUCUGAUGUUAGCGGCGGACGGGUGAGUAACACGUGGAUAACCUACCUAUAAGACUGGGAUAACUUCGAGAAACCGUAGCUAAUACCGGAUAAUAUUUUGAACCGCAUGGUUCAAAAGUGAAAGACGGUCUUGCUGUCACUUAUAGAUGGAUCCGCUCUGCAUUAGCUAGUUGGUAAGGUAACGGCUUACCAAGGCAACGAUGCAUAGCCGACCUGAGAGGGUGAUCGGCCACACUGGAACUGAGACACGGUCCAGACUCCUACGGGAGGCAGCAGUAGGGAAUCUUCCGCAAUGGGCGAAAGCCUGACGGAGCAACGCCGCGUGAGUGAUGAAGGUCUUCGGAUCGUAAAACUCUGUUAUUAGGGAAGAACAUAUGUGUAAGUAACUGUGCACAUCUUGACGGUACCUAAUCAGAAAGCCACGGCUAACUACGUG
rnacentral:rRNA from 1 species